GGGAAGUGGAGCUAACAGAGAGAGUUAACAUCAUCAUGGAGGGAAGUGGAGCUAACAGAGAGAGUUAUCAUCAUCAUGGAGGGAAGUGGAGCUAACAGAGAGAGUUAUCAUCAUCAUGAAGGGAAGUGGAGCUAACAGAGAGAGUUAUCAUCAUCAUGGAGGGAAGUGGAGCUAACAGAGAGAGUUAUCAUCAUCAUGAAGGGAAGUGGAGCUAACAGAGAGAGUUAUCAUCAUCAUGAAGGGAAGUGGAGCUAACAGAGAGAGUUAUCAUCAUCAUGAAGGGAAGUGGAGCUAACAGAGAGAGUUAACAUCAUCAUGGAGGGAAGUGGAGCUAACAGAGAGAGUUAUCAUCAUCAUGGAGGGAAGUGGAGCUAACAGAGAGUUAACAUCAUCAUGGAGGGAAGUGGAGCUAACAGAGAGAGUUAACAUCAUCAUGGAGGGAAGUGGAGCUAACAGAGAGAGUUAUCAUCAUGGAGGGAAGUGGAGCUAACAGAGAGAGUUAACAUCAUCAUGAAGGGAAGUGGAGCUAACAGAGAGAGUUAACAUCAUCAUGGAGGGAAGUGGAGCUAACAGAGAGAGUUAACAUCAUCAUGGAGGGAAGUGGAGCUAACAGAGAGAGUUAACAUCAUCAUGGAGGGAAGUGGAGCUAACAGAGAGAGUUAUCAUCGUCAUGAAGGGCAGAAAAGGACCCGAGACGGAUGUCGGAGCGGAAAAACAACUUGAUUAGAAAGGGAGGAAUACAUCUUGAUUAAAGGAAAGGAUGUUUAUUCAACUGUGAAGACAAACUUUGGAAUUAAAAACUGCUAAAUGAGUGAAAUUAAUGAAGUUUACAUGACUGAGGAAAAUAUUGCUGUGGUGGAGGACAAUGCUAAAGUGAAUGACAAUCAGGAUGUAACGGCCGUCGUCGGUGUAAGAAGGUGAGGACCAAAGCGCAGCGUGGGAAGUGUUCAUCUUCAUUAAUGGAAAAAAUGAAUAACAAACAACAAAGAAACAACCGGAACAGUUCUGUCUGGUGCAGACACACAAAGAC
ensembl:lncRNA